rnacentral:rRNA from 1 species
UACGUAGGGUGCGAGCGUUGUCCGGAAUUAUUGGGCGUAAAGAGCUCGUAGGCGGUCUGUCACGUCGGCUGUGAAAACCCGAGGCUCAACCUCGGGCCUGCAGUCGAUACGGGCAAACUAGAGUACUGCAGGGGAGACUGGAAUUCCUGGUGUAGCGGUGAAAUGCGCAGAUAUCAGGAGGAACACCGGUGGCGAAGGCGGGUCUCUGGGCAGUAACUGACGCUGAGGAGCGAAAGCGUGGGGAGCGAACAGG